rnacentral:rRNA from 1 species
AUUGAACGCUGGCGGAAGGCCUAACACAUGCAAGUCGAACGAGUGGCGGACGGGUGAGUAAUGUCUGGGAAAUGGCCUGAGGAGGGGGGAUAACACCGGGAAAGGGUGCCUAAUACGCCUUACCAUCGAUUGGGCCAAGCUGGGAUUAGCUAGUGGGUGGGGUAAAGGCUCACCUAGGCGACGAGCCCUAGCUGGUCUGAGAGGAUGACCAGCCACACUGGAACUGAGACACGGUCCAGACUCCUACGUGAGGCAGCAGUGGGGAAUAUUGCACAAUGGGCGCAAGCCUGAUACAGCCAUGCCGCGUGUAUGAAGAAGGCCUUCGGGUUGUAAAGUACUUUCAGCGGGGAGGCGUUACCCGCAGAAGAAGCACCGGCUAACUCCGUGCCAGCAGCCGCGGUAAUAC